GACGAACGCUGGCGGCGUGCUUAACACAUGCAAGUCGAGCGGAAAGGCCCUUCGGGGUACUCGAGCGGCGAACGGGUGAGUAACACGUGAGUAAUCUGCCCUGCACUCUGGGAUAGCCUUGGGAAACUGAGAUUCAUACCGGAUAUGUUCACUUCUCGCAUGGGAUGGUGGUGGAAAGUUUUUCGGUGCAGGAUGUGCUCGCGGCCUAUCAGCUUGUUGGUGGGGUAAUGGCCUACCAAGGCUUCGACGGGUAGCCGGCCUGGGAGGGUGAGCGGCCACACUGGGACGUAGACACGGCCCAGUCUCCUACGAGAGGCAGCAGUGGGGAGUAUUGGACAAUGGGCGGAAAGCUGAUUCAGCAACGCCGCGUGAGGUAUGACGGCCUUCGGGUUGUAAACCUCUUUCAGCACAGACGAAGCGCAAGUGACGUUAUGUGCAGAAGAAGGACCGGCCAAGUACGUGCCAGCCGCCGCCGUAA
rnacentral:rRNA from 1 species